rnacentral:tRNA from 2 species
ACAGAUUUAAGUUAAGUUAAACUAUUGAUCUUCAAAAUCAAAAAUUAGUUUCUGUA